UACGUAGGGGGCAAGCGUUGUCCGGAUUUAUUGGGCGUAAAGAGCGUGUAGGCGGCCAGACAGGUCCGUUGUGAAAACUCGAGGCUCAACCUCGAGACGCCGAUGGAAACCCCCUAACUAGAGUCCGGAAGAGGAGAGUGGAAUUCCUGGUGUAGCGGUGAAAUGCGCAGAUAUCGUAAGGAACGCCAGUGGCGAAAGCGGCUCACUGGCCCGGUACUGACGCUGAGGUGCGAAAGCGUGGGGAGCAAACAGG
rnacentral:rRNA from 1 species